UACGGAGGGUGCAAACGUUGCUCGGAAUUAUUGGGCGUAAAGAGCUCGUAGGCGGCUGGUUGCGUCUGCUGUGAAAUCCCGGGGCUUAACCCCGGGCGUGCAGUGGAUACGGGCCGGCUGGAGGCAGGCAGGGGAGAAUGGAAUUCCCGGUGUAGCGGUGAAAUGCGCAGAUAUCGGGAGGAACACCGGUGGCGAAGGCGGUUCUCUGGGCCUGUACUGACGCUGAGGAGCGAAAGCGUGGGGAGCGAACAGGG
rnacentral:rRNA from 1 species